GGAAUAGGCUUCAACCCUAUUCCCAACCGGAUGGAUGGGUCAAAUAAGGUCAAACACUAUUUACAGUCAGUUGACUUCCGGUCUAUCCCCAGUAUAGACUUCCUGCCAAUCCCCCCUGUUGACCAGAAGUGUUGCUAUAUAAAAGGCCAGCGUAAACGUGACCAUGGCAUUUUAUAUAAUAAUCAAUUAUCCUCUGGUCACUUUCACUAUCAUUUAUUUAAAAAAAAACAUGGAAGGAAAAUCAUUCACAAAUUUUACUGAAUUCAAGGAAUUUAUCAAGAAGCAUGAAGAGGAACAGCAUGUUUUGUUUGUUACUAGUGGUUCUAAAAAGCUUAUCAAUGGACAUCCAGCAAAAGAAUCCAUACAGUAUGAGUGGCUAAAAUUAGUAUGCAAACAAGGGAGAGCCACAAAACCAACAUCGAGUAAAGGCAUCCGGCCGAAUCAAAGGUAUUUAUUUCAAUAUUUCUUAACAAUGGAAAAAAUAUUGUGGUAUUACAGAAGAUGUGUAGUUGGGGUAUAGUGGCCAAGUGUUGUCCACCCUAGUUAACCAUCGGCCAUAGAAAUAGAUGCCCUUUACAACAUCUGCCUUAUUAGAUCCCAAAGUCUGAAAGGGGUAAUUUACUUUUAUUUACAAUGCAAUAGUUGAUACUAAAGAUACAGUAGCCAGUUUUAUAAUAGUAUUCAGUGCAAUUGUAUUAUUGAAACACCCCUCCCCCCUUUCUCCCAUCUCUCAAAUCAAAAUAAUAACAGAGUAGAGUGAUGAAAAAAAAAUAUGUAUAAUAUUGUUAUUAUAUUUUUUUUUGUAGGUCAUGGAAACAUGAUUGUGGUGCAGUGAUACGUGCUGUGAUAAGGCAUUCAGAUGUUACUGGCUACCAGUUUGUCAUCACAAAGGCAAUAUUGUCACAUGAGAAUCACCCCACAGAUCAUUUGACUGCACUUGUGUAUCCUGAAAAUAGAAGAAUAAAGCCAGAUGAAACCGUGGAUCUGAUGGUUGGCACCAAAAUACCGCAGUCAGAAUUGCGACAAAUCAUCUCGCAGAAACAGAACAAAUGUGUUCUUGGAAAGGAUGUGGAAAACUACAGGAGAAAACUGAAAGACCCCUGCACUGACAGUGAAGGAGUAGAGAAAAUUCUAAAUAGUAUAAAGGUUGGUGGUGGAAUGGUGAAGUAUGGUGUGACACCAGAAAAUGAAUUUUUGUAUUUGGCAUACAUGACCAAGGAAAUGAUAGGUUCACUUAAAGCCAACAAAACCAUAUUGAUAAUAGAUUGCACUUAUAAAGUCAAUGAGUAUUUAUUUCCAUUGUUGAAUGUUAUGUGUAUUGAUGCCAAUGGUAAUGGUGUACCUGUGUUGCAUGCUUUUGUAAGGAAUGAGAGUGUUGAAAUUUUGGCUGAAUGUUUGAGUGUAUUACAUGAUGUGUGUGUGGAGCCUCAAAUUUUUUUUGUAGAUAAAGAUUUUAGUGAAAUAGGUGCUAUCAAACAAUGUUUUCCUCAAUCUUUAAUUCGCCUAUGUUCAUUUCACACAAUGACAGCAGUAAAAAAGUAUUUAAAUACAAAUGUCUCAAAGGAAUUAUCCAAUAAAAAUUUUGAUCUAUUUAAAGAACAAUCUUAUACAU